GGAGCUUGCUCCACCGGAAAAAGAAGAGUGGCGAACGGGUGAGUAACACGUGGGUAACCUGCCCAUCAGAAGGGGAUAACACUUGGAAACAGGUGCUAAUACCGUAUAACAAUCGAAACCGCRUGGUUUUGAUUUGAARGGCGCUUUCGGGUGUCGYUGAUGGAUGGACCCGCGGUGCAUUAGCUAGKUGGUGAGGUAACGGSUCACCAAGGCYACGAUGCAUAGCCGAYCUGAGAGGGUGAUCGGCCACAUUGGGACUGAG
rnacentral:rRNA from 1 species